UACGUAGGGGGCAAGCGUUGUCCGGAAUCAUUGGGCGUAAAGCGCGUGUAGGUGGCCCGGUAAGUCCGCUGUGAAAGUCGGGGGCUCAACCCUCGGAUGCCGGUGGAUACUGUCGGGCUAGAGUGCGGGAGAGGCGAGUGGAAUUCCUGGUGUAGCGGUGAAAUGCGCAGAUAUCAGGAGGAACACCAAUUGCGAAGGCAGCUCGCUGGAACGUUACUGACGCUGAGACGCGAAAGCGUGGGGAGCGAACAGG
rnacentral:rRNA from 1 species